GACGAACGCUGGCGGCGUGCUUAACACAUGCAAGUCGAACGGAAAGGCCUGCUUUCCCUUGUGGAUUGCGGGUACUCGCGUGGCGAACGGGUGAGUAACACGUGAGUGAUCUGCCCCCAACUUGGGUAUAAGCCUGGGAAACUGGGUCUAAUUCCCGAUAGGACUGCAGGGUGGUGCCUGUGGUGGAAAACGAUUUUCUAGUGGUUGGGGAUGAGCUCGCGGCCUAUCAGCUUGUUGGUGGGGUAAUGGCCUACCAAGGCGGCGACGGGUAGCCGGCCUGAGAGGGUGGACGGCCACAUUGGGACUGAGAUACGGCCCAGACUCCUACGGGAGGCAGCAGUGGGGAAUAUUGCACAAUGGGCGGAAGCCUGAUACAGCGACGCCGCGUGGGGGAUGACGGCCUUCGGGUUGGAAACUCCUUUCGACCGCGAGGAAGCCACCUGGUUGGAAGGGUGGUGACGGUAGUGGUAGAAGAAGCACCGGCGAACUACGU
rnacentral:rRNA from 1 species